rnacentral:rRNA from 1 species
UACAGAGGUCCCAAGCGUUGUUCGGAUUCAUUGGGCGUAAAGGGUGCGUAGGUGGCGCCGUAAGUCAGGUGUGAAAUCUCGGGCUUAACUCCGAAACUGCAUUUGAUACUGCGGUGCUUGAGGACUGGAGAGGAGACUGGAAUUUACGGUGUAGCGGUGAAAUGCGUAGAUAUCGUAAGGAAGACCAGUGGCGAAGGCGGGUCUCUGGACAGUUCCUGACGCUGAGGCACGAAGGCCAGGGGAGCAAACGGG